rnacentral:rRNA from 1 species
AGGGGCAGCAUGGUCUUAGCUUGCUAAGGCCGAUGGCGACCGGCGCACGGGUGAGUAACACGUAUCCAACCUGCCGUCUACUCUUGGACAGCCUUCUGAAAGGAAGAUUAAUACAAGAUGGCAUCAUGAGUCCGCAUGUUCACAUGAUUAAAGGUAUUCCGGUAGACGAUGGGGAUGCGUUCCAUUAGAUAGUAGGCGGGGUAACGGCCCACCUAGUCUUCGAUGGAUAGGGGUUCUGAGAGGAAGGUCCCCCACAUUGGAACUGAGACACGGUCCAAACUCCUACGGGAGGCAGCAGUGAGGAAUAUUGGUCAAUGGGCGAGAGCCUGAACCAGCCAAGUAGCGUGAAGGAUGACUGCCCUAUGGGUUGUAAACUUCUUUUAUAAAGGAAUAAAGUCGGGUAUGGAUACCCGUUUGCAUGUACUUUAUGAAUAAGGAUCGGCUAACUCCGUGCCAGCAGCCGCGGUAAUACGGAGGAUCCGAGCGUUAUCCGGAUUUAUUGGGUUUAAAGGGAGCGUAGAUGGAUGUUUAAGUCAGUUGUGAAAGUUUGCGGCUCAACCGUAAAAUUGCAGUUGAUACUGGAUAUCUUGAGUGCAGUUGAGGCAGGCGGAAUUCGUGGUGUAGCGGUGAAAUGCUUAGAUAUCACGAAGAACUCCGAUUGCGAAGGCAGCCUGCUAAGCUGCAACUGACAUUGAGG